rnacentral:lncRNA from 1 species
UGAUAAAACGGUAUUUCAUGAAUCAACGAAUGUGUGAAAUUGCUUAAGGUCGCUAAUGGAGCCCGAGUCUAGUGUAUUUGUCGGUUAACUGUUAUUUGGCCUGUUUUACAGUCUUCAAUGCAGCAUGAGGUUCGAUGUUUUCAUUUUAUAGUUUCGUGUGCAUAUUGUACUGUUUUAUUGAUUAUGGAUUGAAUGACUGGGGUGUUGAUACUAUAUGUUGUCUGUUUGGCAUAAAUUAUCGUUUAGCUUGUUUGUAU